GAACCGUUUAGGGGUAACCUGAGAAACCCGAAAGGUCGAAUGAGGAAAUUCAUUCGCGUUUCGAUUGGUGGCGUGGAAUUGUUGAGCGACGCAAAGCAUCUUUCGGGAUGCACAGCGAGCCUUCAGUCUCAUGAACCGUCAUCGAACGUGUGCACUUUUCCUCUAGUAGGACGUCGUGAUCCGUUGAGCGUUGGUCUAAGACUUGUGCGGUGGAGCCCGUGAAUUCGAUCUAUGAUCGAGACUUUUGCGGACCCGUCUUGUUCUGGCCAACACGCUCGACGGUAUAAGGACGGCGCAAGGCCGCUACAUUAGUUAGCGUCUGGUCUGUGGCAAGCGCGCCCGGUGUGUCGGUUAUACCGGACCUAGUGCCGGUUCCGAUCCCGCGGUGACUGUUGGCUGCAGAUCCCUCAGACAGACCUUGUAUGAAACGCCGAUCGACGACGCUAUAGCUUUGGGUACUUUCAGGACCCGUCUUGAA
rnacentral:rRNA from 1 species